GACAGAGGGUGCAAACGUUGUUCGGAAUUACUGGGCGUAAAGCGUGUGUAGGCUGUUCCAUAAGUCGGAUGUGAAAGCCCUGGGCUCAACCCAGGAAGUGCACUCGAUACUGUGGAACUAGAGUGUCGGAGAGGUUGGUGGAAUUCUCGGUGUAGAGGUGAAAUUCGUAGAUAUCGAGAGGAACACCGGUGGCGAAGGCGGCCAACUGGACGAACACUGACGCUGAGACACGAAAGCGUGGGUAGCAAACAGG
rnacentral:rRNA from 1 species